CUUUUGCAUGUUUGUCACACAAAAUGUUUCUGAUCAUCAAACACAUUUAACCAUUAGUCAAAUAUAACACAAGUAAACACAAAAUGCAGUUUGUAAAUGGUGGUUUUUAUUAUUUAGGGAGAAAAAAAAAAUCCAAACCUGCAUGGCCCUGUGUGAAAAAGUAAUUGCCCCCUGAACCUAAUAACUGGUUGGGCCACCCUUAGCAGCAAUAACUGCAAUCAAGCGUUUGCGAUAACUUGCAAUGAGUCUUUUACAGCGCUCUGGAGGAAUUUUGGCCCACUCAUCUUUGCAAAAUUGUUGUAAUUCAGCUUUAUUUGGGGGUUUUCUAGCAUGAACCGCCUUUUUAAGGUCAUGCCAUAGCAUCUCAAUUGGAUUCAGGUCAGGACUUUGACUAGGCCACUCCAAAGUCUUCAUUUUGUUUUUCUUCAGCCAUUCAGAGGUGGAUUUGCUGGUGUGUUUUGGGUCAUUGUCCUGUUGCAGCACCCAAGAUUGCUUCAGCUUGAGUUGACGAACAGAUGGCCGGACAUUCUCCUUCAGGAUUUUUUGGUAGACAGUAGAAUUCAUGGUUCCAUCUAUCACAGCAAGCCUUCCAGGUCCUGAAGCAGCGAAACAACCCCAGACCAUCACACUACCACCACCAUAUUUUACUGUUGGUAUGAUGUUCUUUUUCUGAAAUGCUGUGUUCCUUUUACGCCAGAUAUAACGGGACAUUUGCCUUCCAAAAAGUUCAACUUUUGUCUCAUCAGUCCACAAGGUAUUUUCCCAAAAGUCUUGGCAAUCAUUGAGAUGUUUCUUAGCAAAAUUGAGACGAGCCCUAAUGUUCUUUUUGCUUAACAGUGGUUUGCGUCUUGGAAAUCUGCCAUGCAGGCCGUUUUUGCCCAGUCUCUUUCUUAUGGUGGAGUCGUGAACACUGACCUUAAUUGAGGCAAAUGAGGCCUGCAGUUCUUUAGACGUUGUCCUGGGGUCUUUUGUGACCUCUCGGAUGAGUCGUCUCUGCGCUCUUGGGGUAAUUUUGGUCGGCCGGCCACUCCUGGGAAGGUUCACCACUGUUCCAUGUUUUUGCCAUUUGUGGAUAAUGGCUCUCACUGUGGUUCGCUGGAGUCCCAAAGCUUUAGAAAUGGCUUUAUAACCUUUACCAGACUGAUAGAUCUCAAUUACUUCUGUUCUCAUUUGUUCCUGAAUUUCUUUGGAUCUUGGCAUGAUGUCUAGCUUUUGAGGUGCUUUUGGUCUACUUCUCUGUGUCAGGCAGCUCCUAUUUAAGUGAUUUCUUGAUUGAAACAGGUGUGGCAGUAAUCAGGCCUGGGGGUGGCUACGGAAAUUGAACUCAGGUGUGAUACACCACAGUUAGGUUAUUUUUUUUAACAAGGGGGCAAUUACUUUUUCACACAGGGCCAUGUAGGUUUGGAUUUUUUUUUCUCC